CUAAGGAGCAUCUGCUCAGCCUGCUCGAAGAGUCGAGUUGGGUUGUGCCAGAGCCACUUCGGACUCGAAUGAAGUCCGGUGGUGCUCAUGGGUGGAACGCUGACAAGCUUCAUCGCAUCACGGUGCCGGCUCUGUCCGUCGCCGCGGUGAAUAUAUCGACACACUGUUGGGUCCUGAAAGAACAGACGUUCUUUCCAGGCAAGAAAUACGAUCCGCUCAGAUCUUCUGAGAUACCGGCCUUCGUUCGAGGGUGCUGGUCCUGAAAUUCCGGUUUGAGUGGGUGUGUUGUUUGAGAACUGCACAGUGGACGCGAGCAUCUUUGUUUGUAAGUGUGUAAGGGCGUAC
rnacentral:misc_RNA from 1 species